rnacentral:rRNA from 1 species
UACGUAGGGCGCGAGCGUUGUCCGGAAUCAUUGGGCGUAAAGAGCUCGUAGGCGGCUCGUCGCGUUGUUCGUGAAAACCGGGGGCUUAACCCUCGGCGUGCGGGCGAUACGGGCAGACUAGAGGCAUGCAGGGGAGAACGGAAUUCCUGGUGUAGCGGUGAAAUGCGCAGAUAUCAGGAGGAACGCCGGUGGCGAAGGCGGGUCUCUGGGCCGAUACUGACGUGAGGAGCGAAAGCGUGGGGAGCGAACAGG